GCCAGAGUGGCAUAGGGGUUUGAGUGUUGGACUAUGACUCUGGAGACCAGGCUUCGAUUCUCCUCUCGGCCA